ensembl:lncRNA
UGCAAUUCCAUUUAUUAUCAAAAUGAACACAGUCCAAGUGACAUACAGUGGAAUUAUGUAGCAUACCUUAUAAACACAUACCGUACACUUGCAGAUCUCAAGCGUCCAUAGUUUAAAUGCAUGGUUAAGUGUUGGUGUGCUUUGUGACUAUAGCUAACUGACCAUGCUUUGUGUGGUCAGGCUGGGAAGGAUGACAUCAGGGUGUGGGGUAACCUCUGUCCUGUCACGUCUCUCUACUGGCUGGUUCCCUCUCUCCCUCCGUCUGUCUGACUACCUCUGUCUCGCUCUCUGUCUCGCUCUCCCUCUCUCUGUGUACCCCUCCUUAUCUCUCUCUCUCUUUAUCCAGUUGGCAGAUGAAGUGACUCUAGGGCGGGUAAGGGUGUCCAAGGACAGGGGCACGCCUGAGAGGGCGUAGGUGGGGUACAGCUCAGAGAGGAUACGCACAAACACACACACACACACACACACACACACACACACACACACACAGUCCCUGACAGACACACCUGCCACACUUAUCCUUGUCAGGUGGAGCAGACCACAGCAGAGCAGCCAGGAUUAUGUGUAUGUCUUUAAGUCGAGCCAGUGAGCCUCGGCUCGGCGUCCCCCCCGCAAUCUCUUAAUGCACUCGCAGGCCGAUUGCCUCAGAGCGGAUCAGGUUGGAGACCUUGGCCUGUGACCUGACACACCCAAACAAACAACGGGAGACACACACACACAAACACACAGAGGGAUACACACACACAAACAGAGACCCACACACACACACAGACAUACUACUCUCUAGGUCACAGCUCUGCCCUGACAGUAGUGCUUCUGUUCCAUGCUCAGAGGGGACUGGCAGUGCUUGCCAGAGAGGAUCAACUUGUGAGAGUGGGAUAAUCCUGUCUGAGGGAUGUGUGUGUGUGUGUCACUCUGUCUUUGUGUGUUUGUACAUAUGUAUGUGUGUGUGUGUGUGUUUGUCUCUACCUCAAUGUGUGUGUGUGUGUGUGUGUCACUCUGUCUUUGUGUGUUUGUACAUAUGUAUGUUUGUGUGUGUGUGUGUUUGUCUCUACCUCAAUGUGUGUGUGUGUGUGUGUGUUUGUCUCUACCUCAAUGUGUGUGUGUGUGUGUGUGUGUUUGUCUCUACCUCAAUGUGUGUGUGUGUGUGUGUGUAUGCUAGACAGAAGUGGAAGGAAGAGGAGAGUGACAAGAUAACAAGAUAAGGAGACACUAUCAAAGAGAUAACAGUACGAAACAAAAAGCUAGCCUACCAACAGCCCAAAAACAGAGACGGAUAAGUUAGACAACAGAGAGAAAAUGCAUGGAAAGAAGGGGGAAAAGAUAGGAAGGGCUGCUCGUUUUCCAGCUCUUGGCUCCACAUGUUCCUAGACUGUAGCGGCCGCGGCAUCUGGAACAUUCUCUACAUUUUGUUCUCAUCUGGAGGGGAAGAUUUUGAGAGGGCCACGCUCUCAUAUCCUGUUCUCGCCAACGCCGACACCGCCCUUGAAGUCAGAUUUAUGGCGUGCUGAGGGUCAGGCGCUGGGAUGUAGUGUGUGUGUGGGUGUGGACGUGUUUAACAGAAGUCCCCACAAGAAUUGUAAACAACAAAAAUGUGACCAACUGUGGAUAUUUUGUUUGUCCCCACAAGUUCAAAUGCUAUUUCUAAGGGGUUUAUGAUUAAGGUUAGAAUUAGUGUUAGGGUUAGAAUUACGUUAAGGCUUACGGUUAGGAGCUGAGGUUAGUUUUAGGGUUAGAGUUAAGGUUCGGUUUUUGGGUUAAGGUUAGGGUUAGGGUUUCAUUUAGGGAUUAGGGAAAAUAGAACUUUGAAUGGAACUGAAUUGUGUAUCCCCACAAGGUUAGCUGUACAAGAUUGUGUGUGCAUGUGUGUGUGUGCAUGUGGGUGUGUGUGACACAGAGAGAGAGAAAGAGGUCAAAGAGAGAGAGAGAGACAGAGAAAGAGAGGACAGAGAAAAGGAGAACAGAGGGAGAGAGAAAGGAAACUCAUCAUUCAUUGGCAGCGCCUCCAGACUCAUUAAUAAACAGAAACACAUGUCAGAACACUGGGCUCUGCUCCAGAGAACACACACACACACAACAGUCUGGAACAAAGCCACACUUCUCCUUUUACUAGCAUGUCAGGAGGCUGUUUUUGUCAUGCUGUUUGUUGUCUGUCCUUACCUUGUUCUCCCUCCCUCCUUCUUUCCCUUUCAUCCAUCAUUCUAUCCUCUUAAACUUCCCUCCAUCUAUCCACUUGACCUUCCCUCCAUCUAUCCUCUUGACCUUCCCUCCAUCUAUCCUCCUAACCUUCCCUCAAUCUAUCCUCUUGAUCGUCCCUC